CAACCCCCACCUUCUCCUGGGUUGGUGGUUUCCUCUAGCAGCCUUGGGUUUUCACCUUUCAAUAGGGCGCUUAACUUCAUCACCUGCCUUGCGGUGAGGGGAGACCUGCUCCCUUCACAUGUGAGCCUUGCUAUGGCUUCCCUCACUCGUUUGGUUUCCAGUGCUUCCCUGU